rnacentral:rRNA from 1 species
GUCUCAGUUCAGAUUGCAGGCUGCAACCCGCCUGCAUGAAGUCGGAAUUGCUAGUAAUCGCGGAUCAGCAUGCCGCGGUGAAUACGUUCCCGGGCCUUGUACACACCGCCCGUCACACCAUGAGAGCCGGGGGGACCCGAAGUCCGUAGCUUAACUGCAAGGAGGGCGCGGCCGAAGGUAAAACUGGUGAUUGGGGUGAAGUCGUAACAAGGUAUC